rnacentral:rRNA from 1 species
AGUGAACGCUGGCGGUAGGCCUAACACAUGCAAGUCGAACGGCAGCACAGUAAGAGCUUGCUCUUACGGGUGGCGAGUGGCGGACGGGUGAGGAAUACAUCGGAAUCUACUUUUUCGUGGGGGAUAACGUAGGGAAACUUACGCUAAUACCGCAUACGACCUACGGGUGAAAGCAGGGGAUCUUCGGACCUUGCGCGAUUGAAUGAGCCGAUGUCGGAUUAGCUAGUUGGCGGGGGAAAGGCCCACCAAGGCGACGAUCCGUAGCUGGUCUGAGAGGAUGGUCGGCCGCCCUGGAACGUGGACACGGUCCAGACUCCUACGGGAGGCAGCAGUGGGGAAUAUUGGACAAUGGGCGCAAGCCUGAUCCAGCCAUACCGCGUGGGUGAAGAAGGCCUUCGGGUUGUAAAGCCCUUUUGUUGGGAAAGAAAAGCAGCAGGUUAAUACCCCGCUGUUCUGACGGUACCCAAAGAAUAAGCACCGGCUAACUUCGUG